UACGAAGGGGGCUAGCGUUGCUCGGAAUCACUGGGCGUAAAGCGCACGUAGGCGGAUCUUUAAGUCAGGGGUGAAAUCCCGGAGCUCAACUCCGGAACUGCCUUUGAUACUGAGGAUCUUGAGUUCGGGAGAGGUGAGUGGAACUGCGAGUGUAGAGGUGAAAUUCGUAGAUAUUCGCAAGAACACCAGUGGCGAAGGCGGCUCACUGGCCCGAUACUGACGCUGAGGCACGAAAGCGUGGGGAGCAAACAGG
rnacentral:rRNA from 1 species